UACGGGGGGGGCAAGCGUUGUUCGGAAUUACUGGGCGUAAAGGGCGCGUAGGCGGUUGCUCAAGUCAGGCGUGAAAGCCCCGGGCUCAACCUGGGAAUAGCGCUUGAGACUGGGCGGCUUGAGUUCGGGAGAGGUGAGUGGAAUUCCCAGUGUAGAGGUGAAAUUCGUAGAUAUUGGGAAGAACACCGGUGGCGAAGGCGGCUCACUGGACCGACACUGACGCUGAGGCGCGAAAGCGUGGGGAGCAAACAGG
rnacentral:rRNA from 1 species